UAUCAUUACACUUUCAUUUUUCCUCCCAUUUUUGCACACGUGCACCUUUAUGUUUCUUCACUUGCACACUAACACUUUUUAUCAUCACUUGCACACAUGCACUUCAUAUUACCAUUGCACAUACCAUACCUUGCCCACUCACAUGCACAUUUUCACUUAUGCAUCUUUGUUUUUUUAUUACUUUUUCAAAUUUAUGCCUUCACAUUGCAUACAUGCAUUCCCUUCAUUUGCAUCCCACUUGCAUUAUUCGUGACUUCUUCGAAGGAUCGUUAUUGGGCUUCACAAUUAAUGUGAUUGGCACCACUCAACCUUUGAAGAGAAAUUUCCCCCA
rnacentral:lncRNA from 1 species